CUGUAGGCAGUUGGCAUACUCCAUAAAUUUUCUAAGCAUAUUCGAGAGCAUACACUUUUUUUUGCUCAUAACAUUAGGAAAAUUGGGGGCAUGACAAUAUAUUCUGAAGACCUGACAGCCCUCCAAUCCACCCCAAUCUUUCUAAUGACUUCUAGCAAUGCACCAUACUUAACCUGUCCCCUACUGGCCAACAUUUCCAUUCAACUCCAGGAUUUUGCCAUUAUAACACAUAGACUCCCUGGCACUUGGCCAAGUAUAUUCAUAGGAUACAGUCCUAGAAUUGGGAUGUCUGAGUCAGAGGAUAUGUGCAUUUUUAAUUUCUGUAGCUACUGCCCAGUACCCUCCACAAAGGUGGCAUCAGCCACACACCCAUCAGCAAUACACACGUGAGGGUACCUGCUUCCAUCACCCUCACCCACCCUGGCAAGGACGCAGCACGUCGGGGGAAGCAAAUCCCAAAUUCAGGUAAGUGGACUUUCCAUGUGGGCCUGAGUAGGGGUGGACACAGCCUCCAAGGUUGUCCCUUUAGCCUGUGGAGGCGCUAAGCCAUCCAGGGUUCUCAUUUGGGUCUAAUAAACAAAGGCAGGGCUUGGGGAGAUGAGCCAGAACCAUGCUGCGAGAUGCCUUAUGCAGCUCAGUAUUUAUUUCUUCAGUGCAGUUAGAACUUAAAUAUGGUCAAAACAUAUUCUUCUUUUAAUUUACACAAACAAAUAUGUUCCCAGGCUGACACCUCUGGUGCCAAGUUUCUAGGGGAAAUGAAAUUCUACUAUGAGAUUAUAAACCACUAGAGAAAAGAUGAGGAUGGAAAAGCCGCCGCCGUCAGCUUCGCGCGUCCGAGCGGGGCUGCUGAGAGAUGUUUCAGAACCGGGCUGCUGCUUCUCAGUCUCUUUCUGUUUUUGUUGCAGAUAAACCUGCCAGUAAUUUUAGCAAAUGAAACCUGGAAUGCCUAAAGGCCAGAGGAUGGAAAACGCUCCGGUUUUGAUAAAAGGAGGUCUGCUCGGUUUGGACUCCUCCGUCCUGCUAGUCAGGAGACGCAAAGAUUUAUCCAGAGAGGGGCUGAUGAACUGAGGAAAGAGAAAUGGGGCCAAUGUUGCACUCAAUAACUAGUUCAAGCGCCCAAUAGCCACAUGGGGCUAGUGGCCACCACACUGGACAGCGCAGAGCGCGACCGUUUUGAUGACUGCAGAAGGUCCUGUGCCAUUGACCAGUGCCGUUCCAGAGAUUUCACAGGACCUUGAACUUCCCCGGGCCUCGAUGUUCUCACCUGUAAAACGGGCAUAAUGUGACAUCAACUAACUCAACAAAUCUUUAUUAUGGGAGCACAGUGGCAAAAAGGACCUAGUCUCAUGGAACUAGACACUUGGAGGAUCUCCACACUUUCCAACGACUGAGUAUCCAGCUCUGCCGGACCCACAGAAUAUUUUCACUUAACUGUGUGCUCAUAUUUCCAUGAACCCCUGAGUCAGUGGUGACACAUGAAUGACACUCGACAAAUAGUCAUUGACGGACCAACCAAAGCUGCCAUCACCUCUGACUGGGCCUCCAUCCGAGACUGCAGAAAUCCUCUGUAGCCACCGUGACCUCCAGUUCCCAUUCAGACAGGCUAGUAUCCGUGAUGUCACACGACAGAAGGUGUUUCCAGAGAAAAACUGGCCAAGAGGCUGGCGGACAGGAUCGGGUGUGUUUUUUCUUUAAUUGUUGUACCUGUUCUGUCUGUUCUUUCUUGGCUCGGUUCACACACACACACACCCCACCCCAGCACCAGCUCAGGAAAAAACAAAACCAAAACAAAACAUUACGGCAGAGGUUGAGCCAAGAAAGCUGGCUGGUUCCCUCUCUGCUUGUAAUUAAUGCUGAAAAUGUUCAUGACUUGCCUUGGCCACAGAGGUAAUAAUAAAAUUAUGCAGUCUGA